rnacentral:lncRNA from 1 species
UAGGAUCUGUGGGAAGAUAGGCCCUGAGCGCUUGUUCCCCAGCUGCCUUCCUGGGGCAGGUGUCUCAGGUGGGCCUUUCCUCUAUUGUGGCUCAUCUGAGGGCAGUGAUGAGCCCCCGAGAGCCUCUGAGCAGGACCUGGAGUGGGGCUGUGGCCUCAGGAAACAAAGUCCUCAUGAGGAACCUCAUAAGAUUUCAUACAUCUGAGAAUGUGCACGUUUCUUAACAGAGAAACAGUGAGAGAAGAUCCAUGCUGGUCCCACAUGGGGACCUUCUUAUGAUCCCCAAAGAAGGAAGACAGCAAAUGUCCAUUUUGUGUUCAAUUAUCCAUUUCAAAACGUCAAGUGAAGCUGAGAAGGAGGAGCAGCAGGAGCAGGAAGAAAAGGGGAGCUUUGAACGCUCCCUGGGGAGGCUGUCUUGUAAGGGAUGCUUCCAUCGCUUGUCAUCUCAAGAUUCUCCUGGGGAGGCAUGCAAGACAGCAUCUGCUAGAGUUCACCAGCCAUGCGGGAAGCCUGUGGAAGGUGUUCCUCUCACCAUGAAUCCAGCACUUUCCCUGGCUCUUCUGACCCAGCCCACUCUACCUUUGGCCUCCACUCUGCCAGCAGAACCUCCAUCUGCCUUGACCAGAACUCCAUUAGGCCCUUUUGCCACGAGCUCAGCUCUAGCUCACUCCUGUUUCCAUCUACCAACUCAGGCCGCAGCCGCACGAGCUGUAGCAUUGGGUUCCUCAGCAAAUCUAUGAAUUAUCCUUUUGUUGGUUUGAGUCAAGGGUGGAGGAAAUGUCCUGUAGAAAGUUCCAACCAUGCCAGGUCUUCGUUUUCUUACUGGACAUGGGCUAGUUUAGGAGCAUCAUGUGAUGGAGCAUAAAGGGUGGACUUUGAGGACAACCGGGUCUGGGGCUGAACACAAGCUUAGCCAUUUGUGAACUGCCUGAUCUAAGACAUGUUCUUAACCAUUCUGAAUUUCAGUUUCUCAAUCCAGGUAAAGAAAAUAAUAAGAUUUACCAGUAGGAGUUAUAGGACUUAGUUUCUUUUCUGGUUCUCUGAUCUACUCUGUAAUUUUGGCAAGUCGUGUGACCUCUUCAGGCCUACUUAUCUUUGAGAGAAAAUGAAGGUCUUAGUGGUUCUCCAUAGGAAUAUGAUUUUCUCCCACCCGGGGGCAUCUGAAAGUGUGUGUGGUGUUUUUUGAUUGUCAUGAAACUAAGGGAAUCAAGAACGUAAAUUGCUCUGUAAGGGGGAGGACAGUCCCAUACAACAGAGAAUUGUUCCAUCAGAAAAUCAACGUAGCCCUGUUGUGAAACCCAAUUAGAACAUCUCUGAAGUCUUUGUCACCUUAACAUUUCAUCAUUUUACUCUAUGUCAUUGUUUCCUUACAAUUAUGAUGGAUGAACUAGAUAAUUAAAUGCUAUGAGCCACCCUGCCACACAUGAGCAUGUUUAUCAAAAUGAAGGAUGGUGGAAUAAAGAACUGGCUUUUUUUGGGUUGGAGUAAAGG